UCCUUGCGAUGUUCUGAACUUGGUAAUAACUAAUUUUUAAAACGAAUGCUAACACGCUUUGCACUAGGAAAAUGGUCCAUAGAAUCAGCUUUGUUAGCCAUUUUUAAACUCUACAGAUGUCUUUUUGUAUCUUUUGCCUGUACAACGAACGGCAACUGUUAGCUCUAUGAUAUUCCGCCAUUGCUACGGGCACUAAAACUGACUGUAUUAUGAGCCGAAGAACUGUCGUACUGAUUCUGUCGCUAAUUACGUACUACAAUGAUCACUCCGCCCAUGCUUUAAAACUACCACGGCUUCGUUUUGAGAAAGACGGCUUGUCUACCAAUUUGGAUAUUACUGAGUUUAAGUACUGUUGGGUAUAUCGCGAUGAGUACUUCCCUAAUGGAGUCCUUCGUGACAGGGCCAUUAUAGAUGGAGGCCUUGGCCUAUGCAUGAACGACACUGUACUUGAGGCUGAAUGUAAAAGUCUUGGACUGAACCAUACCAAAGUCGAUGUAAAAUGUGACAUUUGUAAUAUUCGUUCGGAAUCGUGCUGCUAUGGCAAAAGCAUCCACAGAGCAUUUCCCGGAGGGAAUUUCAUGCGCCGCGAUAUCGACAAAUUGCAACCGCCCACGAGUUGCUGCAUAUCGCCGCCGUCGUCUCCGCCACCGCCCACUUGCCCUCCGCCACCCACUUGCCCGCCCACUCCCCCAACUCACCCUCCAGAGACCUCCACCUACGAAACCAAAACCACACCACCAGCUGAAGACACCACGCCGCCAUAUAUAGACACGCCACCGACUAGAUCUUCUUUCGGAACGACCACAUCUAAACCACCGUCUAGCGUAUCGACCACCACGAAUCCGACAACGACCAGUGGGACACUCACUCCACCAACAAGGUCAUCGACUACAUCAUGGUGGCCCACCACCACUCCACCCACGCCAAACACAACCCUGACGCCGCCGAACCCUCCAACCAACACGACGACGACGCCACCAUCACCACCGCCGCCACCACCUCCACCGUGUAAUACGACCUCGACCACCACGUCGACCACACCAAACAUCACGACAACUGCCACCCCGCCACCCAUGACGGUACCUACGGGUUCGACCACUCCCUGGCUACCACCCACAACCGGGACCGGUACAUACCCACCACCUAGCCGUACUUCAACACCGUCAAUUCCAAGUACCACCGAAACGGAAACGUAUCCGCCACCUUUUAACACCACCACACCACCGACCCCAUCUACUACCGGAACCGGGACAUAUCCGCCACCGAGCAAUACAACCACACCGUCGUUACCAUCGACCACCGGAACGGGGACGUAUCCGCCACCUAGCAGCAUCAACACACAGUCGACUACAACUACCACUGGAACGCCACCUAAGACCACAACGCCCCCGUCGCCAACUACCACCGGGUCGGCACCACCUCCCUCCUCAACGCAAUCCAUCCCCCCACCAACGGUCACUUUGACCCCAACCACGAGCACACGUAUUACCACCUCCACCGAUGUUCCUCCGCCAACCACUACACCGAACAGCACCGCCCCGCCGUGCAAUGACACCGUCCCGAACCCUCCCUUGCCGCUGUAUCCGAGAUGUGGUACUACACUGGACCCAGCUGAUGCAACACCCCACUGCUUUCUCGUCGAUAUCGGCUUCUAUUUGUCCUGCGCUCCGCCCUUGGCUCAGCGCUGGAUCACGUACUCGGACAGCCAUGUUGGCGUGAUUAUCAACGAUACCGUCGUGUAAACGGUUGCCAGUGGUUUUGACAGCUUCCGCUUUCUACGCUAUGCGGUGACAGAAAGUGAGUGAUACUGAGUAUGCCCCGUCCCGGUCCGUAAGCGUACCGACUGCCCCAUGGGAUAAUCGUGUACCGAUAAGCACACGGAACUCACGAAACCGGUUCGUCCGCGGCACUUGCACGGUCCGUCGGUCCUGGGAUUGUGUGCUAGAGGACCAACGCGGGCACCGGUUUGUCUGGCAGGGGAGCGCCACUGUGAG